rnacentral:rRNA from 1 species
AACGAACGCUGGCGGCAUGCCUAACACAUGCAAGUCGAACGAGACCUUCGGGUCUAGUGGCGCACGGGUGCGUAACGCGUGGGAACCUGCCCUUAGGUUCGGAAUAACUCCCCGAAAGGGGUGCUAAUACCGGAUAAUGUCUUCCGACCAAAGAUUGAUCGCCUUUGGAUGGGCCCGCGUUGGAUUAGCUAGUUGGUAGGGUAAAAGCCUACCAAGGCGACGCUCCAUAGCUGGUCUGAUAGGAUGAUCAGCCACACUUGGACUGAGGCACGGCCCAGAAUCCUACGCAAGGCAGCAGUGGGGAAUAUUGGACAAUGGGCGAAAGCCUGAUCCAGCAAUGCCGGGUGAGUGAUGAAGGCCUUAGGGUUGUAAAGCUAUUUUACCCGGGAUGAUAAUGACGGUACCGGGAGAAUAAGCUCCGGCUAACUCCGUG